rnacentral:misc_RNA from 1 species
UUCGAAUCAAAAUUCCAAUUGGCAGCACCGCCAAUUAAGUUAAUUUCCCAAACAGCUGCUAGCAAAACUUGUUUGUUGACGUUUUUUGUGAUUACCUCAUUCUGCUAACUUUUCAGUUUUCAAGUCUUACAACGUAAAAGUUGAAAAAUUUUUUUCAUCAAUUGGGUUAAUAGCUAGGCGGAAGGAAAAACCUCUUCGCAGUGGCUUUAUUUACCCGUGUAAAUUUUUUGUUAUCUAAAUUUUAAGGAAGGAAAGUGAAAAAGCAAGCAUUUGUGUCGGCAAGUGGACUAUUGUUUGAUUGUACUUUGACCACUCGAGGAACUGUGACGUGAGGAGAAACUAUGAAUGUACGAGUGACCAAGUACACGAAAUAAAACAAAGCAGCGCCCCAUUGGAUUGACGCGUGUGAAAAAGCAUUGAAGCAAGAGGAUUAGUGUGAAGGAUACAAAAAACGAAUUUUCUGGCGUUUGUACGAGGGAUAAAAAAGAGUUGCAGGAGCAAGGAGUGAAGAAAAGGCUCUUUGAAAACCGCUCAAAACAGUUCAAAUCAAGCGACUACAGUCAGCCAGUUAAACUAAGCGGGGUCCAACAUGGAAUUCAUUGAGCCCACAGCUGUCAUCUCAGCAAGUAUUAAUGCAGUGGAUGGCGUAAUAGCGAACGGCAGUGAAAAAUUGCCAGCAGCCACAUCGAAACCAAUGUUAGAUACUGGCGAUUUGAAACGUUUUGUAGCACCCCCGUCUCCACCGGCCACGCCCAAUUCGAUACCGUCUUCUUCGGUUGCAUCCUUAGCUUCGUCGGCUGAAUUCGGCACAUCACUGCGUGAUCAACGUAUGAUGGAUGACACGACUGACACGGCGGGAGAUGACGCACCACCAGCAUUGUUGCCUAUUUACGCAGAACUCUUGGAACAGUGCGUUGAGCACGCCGAUUACUUUAGAGACGAUCCCUCUGAGCGUGGACAGCGCUUGUAUGCUGCGUUCGUCGCUUGGCAGGAUUUCAUACGUUUAGCAAAUAAGCUAGUAUUACAAAUUGAUGCCUUCGCUUACAAGUAUGACUUUGACGAACAUACUCCCGGCAAUGGUUAUCGCAGUUUUAUAUCUGUCACCAACUCCUGCAUCACUUAUGGUCAAGGCAUUUGCAAGAAUCUCCAUGCGACACGCGCUACAAUGUUCUUUCGCAAGAAAUACUUUAUGAAAGAGGUCGAGUCGUGCUCGCAGUUGCUCUCUUCGCUCUGCACAUGCUUGCAAUAUUUGCUCAUCAUGCAUGACUGGUCAUGUGAUUCGGGCGAUUUGUUCGCUAAUGGGGAACAUACCGCCGAGGAGCUGUUCGAAAUGGGCGACACCAUCAAUCAGUAUGCCUUCUACGGCCGCUGUCUUGGGUUUCAGUACGACAACUCAAUACGCGGUGUUCUGCGUUUCAUUGCGAUCGGCAUGGCCAGCUUUUCGGAGGUGUUCUAUGCAGAGGUCGAAGGUAAAAUACAAAAAACUACACGCGGCCUAUGGACGGGCAGCAAGUACUUUUUGAAUCCAGAACAAUGUGCGCGUCGCAUUGUUAACAUUUCGCAAAAUGCGAAAAUAGAUUUUUGCAAAGCAUUUUGGUUUCUCGCCGAGUCGGAGAUGAUGCACACUAUACCGACGAUCGUUGGCAGUUCGGUGAAAGUAAAUCGCGUAAUCGAGAUACCACCUGAGCCCUUGCAGUUGCCUCGCGUUAAUAAGUCACAAAAGCUACACCCUGUAACCGAUGUAAAUCAAAACGAUAACGUCGAACUGAUCGAUAUACCAUUGCCGUCUGCGCACAUUGGCCCUGGCAAUUCAGUGAAAGUGCGGUUGCUCAGUUUUUCGCGCCGUGAAGGCAUGAUCGGCAUGUUCUCAAGAAGUUGGCGCCGCUUGCCGGCACGUAGUCGCAGCGUACUGUUUCAUUGUCAUGGUGGUGGAUUUGUAGCGCAGUCGUCAAAAUCGCAUGAACUCUACUUGCGCGAUUGGGCUGCUGCGCUCGACGUGCCUAUUAUUUCGGUGGACUACAGUUUGGCGCCAGAAGCGCCUUUUCCGCGCGCACUCGAGGAGGUUUUUUACGCUUACUGUUGGAUGUUGCGAAAUACUGAGCAUUUAGGCACUACCGCUGAGCGCAUUGUGCUGGCUGGCGAUUCGGCAGGUGCCAAUCUUUGCAUAGGCGUGGCAUUGAAAUGCAUCGAGCAGGGUGUACGUGUACCGGAUGGCUUGUUUCUAGCAUACUGUCCAACUCUAAUCAGCUUCGUGCCGAGUCCGGCGCGUCUACUGUGCCUCAUGGAUCCGUUGUUGCCUUUCGGUUUUAUGAUGCGUUGCUUGCGCGCUUAUGCAUCACCGGGGAAAGAGCAGAUGCAAGAGAAUGUGAAGCAUACAUCCGAAAUGGCUGAUAUACGCGAGGCAACGCCAACACAAGAGCUGCACUUUACACUGCAAAUGGAAAAGGAGUGCAGUGCGGCAUCUAGUAGGCGCACUUCCGCGGCGAAGAGUCCAUUGUCCUCGGUGGCGGAGAAUUCCAAGUGGGACCAAAUGUUGAAAGAUGGCACAGCUUUGGAUAUGAAUGCCGUGGAAGCAGACGCUCAGACCGAGGAGAGCAGCGACACUUUUGCCAGCGCCUCGUAUCAUAGUCAAACUGUAGAACGCACCGAUUUACCCUCCGCCGAAGAAGAUAACAGCCUUUGUGUCUCCUUCGAAGAUGACUCCCAACCAAUUGUACACUACCCCAUACAAAUUUCUGCGGAAAUUCAAAAAGACUCUGAUUCAGAGCAAUACAUUGAUCGAUUUCUGGAUAAAUAUCUCAUUGACACAAAUACGCAGGAGGCUAAGGAGCAGCUAGCCAAUGGCUUUACCACUGCAAAUGGCACAACACACGUCAAUAGUCUUACACCAAUAAUAGCGCUUACAGAAUCUGAAGAGAAUAUCAUCAUUGACACGGGAAAAGAAGUGAUUGCUUUCGAGACGCUGCAUUGCCGCUUUAAUAAUGCCUUCAAUGCGCUGACAACAACUUUCGAUCGUUACACCAAAUCGAGUGAGAUACGCAGCGAGGUGGAGAAUGGUGAGCGCAUACAGGAUUUGCGCAAUAUGGAUGCUUUGAUAGCGCGUAGCCCUAGUGUAGAGUUUGCCUUUCAAGUGCCAAAAGAUCCAUUCCUAUCGCCGUACUGGGCAAGCGAUGAGUGGCUUUCACAGCUGCCAACUACGAAGAUACUGACGCUUGAUAUGGACCCCUGUCUCGACGAUUGUGUGAUGUUUGCUCGUAAGUUAAAAAAAUUGGGGCGACCAGUGACGUUGGAGAUAUUGAAUGGUUUGCCACAUGGUUUCCUCAACUUUACAAUGUACUCAAGCGAGGCGCGCGAUGGAUCGAAGCGUUGCAUAAAAAGCCUCGAAGAACUGCUGUCAAUUCCGGCGGAUAUACCACUAAAUCCAGAUGCUAGCGGAAGUAAUUGAACGAGUGUAACGCGACAACAAUUACGUAAACUUUUUAUAAUGCAUACAUAUAUACACAUAAUGGCAUACUUUAUAGAUUAUUAAGGCGCAGUUUAAAGCAGCAUUAGAGGGCUUAUCCUUCAACAAUAAAAAUAAAUAUUUAGAGCUGGGUUUAUAAAAAAAAUAAUGGAGCGAUUUUUGUGUACGCAUAUUCAUAAAUAAUAACUGCACUCUUUAUAUAUGCGCAUGCGCAUGAUUAGAAAGACAAUAUACACACUAAAGGUGUAUGGUAAACAAACAGUAUUUGCUGCAGCUCAACAACUGUACGACUGCGAGGGAAAUACAGGAUAAUGAAUUCGUAUACUUGCAAAAAAAAAAGUUUAUAAAAUACAUUAAAGAGUUUAUGAAAUAAUAUAUACACAAUUAUAAAAGUCGCGCAAAAUUAUCAGUAUAUACAAGAAUACUUUGUAUUUAUUAAUAUUUAUUUGUAAUUCGAAAUCAGAUUUUAUUUCUUAAAUAGAAACUCUAAAUUAAUUUCUGGGUGAAAUAGGCAGGAGCGGAGCGGAGUUAUCCAAAGAAAAUUAAAAUGUUGAAUAAACUAACGGCAAAAUUCAUAAAGCACUGAACUGAUUUAUAAUCGAAAAAUUCUAUUAGAAAGUUACUUUAUAAAGCUUUUAAUCUUAUUUCUGUGGCAUUUUGAUAACACAACUUAUCUCUUGGUUUGUAAAACAAUAUUUUAAUGAUUAACUAGUGUUGUUUUUUGAAGGGAAACGUAUUAUUUUUUAAUCCUAAGUCAAGCCCUCUAAAGUUACUUAAGGUGUUUUAUCAAAAUGCUACAGAAUUUAUUUUUUAUGAAUUACGUAAUCAGUAUAAAAGGAAGUGAAAUUUUAUUAAUUAAUAUAAUUAUAAUUAUGAAAUGAUUGAUUAAAAAUCCUAAACUGAUUUCAAAUCU